UACGAAGGUCGCAAGCGUUAUCCGGAGUUACUGGGCGUAAAGAGUUCGUAGCUGGUUUAGUAAGUCUGAUUUCAAAGACUCUGUCUCAAACAGAGAAAGGGGUCAGAUACUGCUAUUCUGGAGAUAACUGGGGGUUAGUGGAAUUACCGGUGGAGGGGUGAAAUCCGUUGAUAUCGGUAGGAACGCCAAAAGCGAAAGCAACUAACUAUGGUUUUCUGACAGUCAAGAACGAAAGCUCGGGGAUCAAACG
rnacentral:rRNA from 1 species